CGGCGUCACUGUACCGCUUCCGUCCGCCUCGAACCACCGUGGCCAUCGCCUCUUUCUUAUCGGCGCCAUUUCCGAUGCCAUCUUCCGGUGCGGUGGUUGAUCUAUCUAUCAAGAGUUCAUCAUCGAUACCUAAUCCAGAGGUUGAAGUGGAUGAGGACGUGGAAUACGAAGAAAUUGAGGUUGAAGUUGAAGAAGAAAUUGAGGUUGAAG
rnacentral:misc_RNA from 1 species